UUUAAUUGAAGAGUUUGAUCAUGGCUCAGAUUGAACGCUGGCGGCAGGCUUAACACAUGCAAGUCGAGCGGUAGCAGGGAGAAAGCUUGCUUUCUCCGCUGACGAGCGGCGGACGGGUGAGUAAUGUCUGGGGAUCUGCCUGAUGGAGGGGGAUAACUACUGGAAACGGUAGCUAAUACCGCAUAACGUCGCAAGACCAAAGUGGGGGACCUUCGGGCCUCAUGCCAUCAGAUGAACCCAGAUGGGAUUAGCUAGUAGGUGGGGUAAUGGCUCACCUAGGCGACGAUCCCUAGCUGGUCUGAGAGGAUGACCAGCCACAC
rnacentral:rRNA from 1 species